rnacentral:rRNA from 1 species
CCUACGGGUGGCAGCAGUGAGGAAUAUUGGUCAAUGGACGCAAGUCUGAACCAGCCAUGCCGCGUGCAGGAAGACGGCUCUAUGAGUUGUACACUGCUUUUGUACGAGGGUAAACGCAGAUACGCGUAUCUGUCUGAAAGUAUCGUACGAAUAAGGAUCGGCUAACUCCGUGCCAGCAGCCGCGGUAAUACUGAGGAUUCAAGCGUUAUCCGGAUUUAUUGGGUUUAAAGGGUGUGUAGGCGGUCGGAUAAGUUAGAGGUGAAAUCCCGAGGCUCAACUUCGGACUUGCCUCUGAUACUGUUCGGCUUGAGAGUAGUUGCGGUAGGCGGAAUGUAUGGUGUAGCGGUGAAAUGCUUAGAGAUCAUACAGAACACCGAUUGCGAAGGCAGCUUACCAAGCUACUUCUGACGUUGAGGCACGAAAGCGUGGGGAGCAAACAGGAUUAGAUACCCUUGUAGUC